CAGUCGCCGCGGGAAAACGGAGGGUGCAAGCGUUAUCCGGAUUCACUGGGUUUAAAGGGUGCGUAGGCGGGCAGGUAAGUCAGUGGUGAAAUCUUCGAGCUUAACUCGGAAACUGCCGUUGAUACUAUCUGUCUUGAAUAACGUUGAGGUGAGCGGAAUAUGUCAUGUAGCGGUGAAAUGCUUAGAUAUGACAUAGAACACCGAUUGCGAAGGCAGCUCACUAAACGCUCAUUGACGCUGAGGCACGAAAGCGUGGGGAUCAAACAGGAUUAGAUACCCGCGUAGUCCCUGUCUCUUAUAC
rnacentral:rRNA from 1 species